rnacentral:rRNA from 1 species
AUGGAUCUGCCGCCACUUCUCAAGGGGUGCCCUCUGAUGACCGAUUCAUGCCGCCGCCACGCCCGACCACCAGGGCAACUAGACGGUGCUCCCGUCUGCGAGAAAAUCACCCGCGCGGGCAAGGCGCUGAGCGCCGUGCUGGUGACGGUGCUACUACGCCUGGCCGCCAUCACGGACGUGAUUGUCGCCUCUAACGCUCCCGCCUACCGAGUGGCGCUGGAGCACCCAUGCCUCUUCCAUGCCGACCUCCGUUCCAUGCUUCGCCCCGUCGGCGCCCUGCUCGUCGCCUUCCUCCUCGGAUCCUUUACGCACUACAUCAACUCCGACCUGUGUCACUGCCGUCAACCUCCUCUCCAGCGGCAAGGUUAG